rnacentral:rRNA from 1 species
UACAGAGGGUGCAAGCGUUGUUCGGAAUUAUUGGGCGUAAAGGGCGCGUAGGCGGUGCGGUAAGUCUGUAGUGAAAUCUCUGGGCUCAACUCAGAGUCUGCUGCAGAAACUGCCGUGCUUGAGUGUGGGAGAGGUGAGUGGAAUUCCCGGUGUAGCGGUGAAAUGCGUAGAUAUCGUCAAGAACACCGAUAGUGAAGACAGCUCACUAAGCUCAAACUGACGCUGAGGCACGAAAGUGUGGGGAUCAAACAGG